GGAAGGUGCAAGCGUUAAUCGGAAUUACUGGGCGUAAAGCGCGCGUAGGUGGUUUGUUAAGUUGGAUGUGAAAGCCCUGGGCUCAACCUAGGAACUGCAUCCAAAACUAACUCACUCGAGUACGAUAGAGGGAGGUAGAAUUCAUAGUGUAGAGGUGGAAUGCGUAGAUAUAUGAAGGAAUACCAGUGGCGAAGGCGGCCUCCUGGAUCUGUACUGACACUGAGGUGCGAAAGCGUGGGUAGCGAACAGGAUU
rnacentral:rRNA from 1 species